UCGCUUGCAUUAUUUCGUAAUUGACAUAGUAAGAUAUUCAGAUUCCAAGGAUUACAGUUAAUACAAGUUUCAGAAAUUGUUGUUGGAAAUAAUACAGAGUUUCUUAAUGAAUCAUCAUUAUUGUUCCAUUGUCUCAUCAUAGAAGGGAAAAAAACUGUUACUAUACAGUAGUCGUUAGUCCUAGUUAGAAGUAUAUUAAGUAUUCUUUCAUUUCUAAAUGUAGAGUUAUUUGUAUUCAAGAAAUUUCUGGUAAUUACGAGCUGAAUCCCACUGUUGGAACUUGAGAUGAAGUUUAAAAUGUGAAAGGUUUAUGGACGGCGGAAGACGACGGAUGAAGCACGAUGGCUAUAGGUCAUCCUGACCCUUUGGAUAGAAAACACGUACCAUUUCAGGGUUUUAUAAGUUAGAAACAUUUCAAUUUUAAUAAAGCUCUGUCAUUUUCAA